GAGUAAAAGGAUGGGGGAGGGGGUUGUCAGAAGAGAUGAUCGGAGCAAGUUUAGUGGACUUUUCAGCUCAUUUGGUCCAUCCAGCCUGCAUCUUGAUGAUUUGUGAACUACUUGUUCUCAGUGCUGAGAAAUUGGGAACACAUUGUUGGCCAAGGUGAGAUUUAAGCUUUGGCAUGAAUGAUGUGAAGGAAACAGCUGUGAAGAAUAUGGAGAAAAUAGCACCAUAGGCAGGGAAAAUGGGACGUGAAAAUUUCCCAAGACUCCAACAGAAGUGUCCAUCACAGAGCCCAGCGGAAGAAUCUUCAACAGGGAGGAAUCAGCAACUACAAGUCCCAACAGCAAAAGAUGUAUGUUACAACUCCUACAAGAAAUCAACUACCCUGCAGCUCAGCCAAUGGGAAACUAAUGUCACCCUGAACGCUUGUUUUUCUCUAACGGACUUUUGUUCAAAACAACCCCUCUCCCCCCUGCCCAGCCAAACUUCCUCCUUCUUCUCCAUAAAAUUACACUUGAACUUGCUUACGGUUUUGCUGAAGCUUGCCUGUCCUGAAGUGCAAUCUCUUGCUAUUUCUGCAUAAACUAUUUUUUGCUGGUAAAGUAACUGAUAGUUUUAUUUUUAAGGUGAACAAUACAUACCUACAU